GGCGGCGUGCUUAACACAUGCAAGUCGAACGAGGUCCAACCUUCGGGUGAAGACCGAGUGGCGAACGGGUGAGUAACACGUGGGGAACCUGCCCUUCUCUCUGGGAUAACUCCGGGAAACCGGAGCUAAUACCGGAUACUCCUUGCGGACCGCAUGGUCUGCUCGGGAAAGCUCCGGCGGAGAAGGAUGGCCCCGCGGCCCAUUAGCUUGUUGGUGGGGUAACGGCCCACCAAGGCGACGAUGGGUAGCCGAGCUGAGAGGCUGAUCGGCCACACUGGGACUGAGACACGGCCCAGACUCCUACGGGAGGCAGCAGUGGGGAAUCUUGCGCAAUGGGCGAAAGCCUGACGCAGCAACGCCGCGUGCGGGAUGAAGGCUCUCGGGUCGUAAACCGCUUUCAGCAGGGAUGAAAAUGACAGUACCUGCAGAAGAAGCCCCGGCUAAAUACGUGCCAGCAGCCGCGGUAAUACGUAUGGGGCAAGCGUUAUCCGGAUUCAUUGGGCGUAAAGCGCGCGUAGGCGGCUUGUUAAGUCAGGCGUGAAAUCCGGGGGCUCAACCCGCGGCUUGCGUCUGAAACUGGCAGGCUUGAGUCUGGUAGAGGAAAGUGGAAUUCCUGGUGUAGCGGUGAAAUGCGCAGAUAUCAGGAGGAACACCAGUGGCGAAGGCGGCUUUCUGGGCCACGACUGACGCUGAGGCGCGAAAGCUAGGGGAGCGAACAGGAUUAGAUACCCUGGUAGUCCUAGCCGUAAACGAUGGGCACUAGGUGUGGGGGGUCAUCGACUCCCUCCGUGCCGAAGCUAACGCAUUAAGUGCCCCGCCUGGGGAGUACGGCCGCAAGG
rnacentral:rRNA from 1 species